CCUACGGGUGGCAGCAGUGGGGAAUAUUGGACAAUGGGCGCAAGCCUGACGCAGCAACGCCGCGUGAAGGAAGAAGGCUUUCGGGUUGUAAACUUCUUUUGUCAGGGAAGAGUAGAAGACGGUACCUGACGAAUAAGCCACGGCUAACUACGUGCCAGCCGCCGCGGUAAUACGUAGGUGGCAAGCGUUGUCCGGAUUUACUGGGUGUAAAGGGCGUGUAGCCGGGUUGACAAGUCAGAUGUGAAAUCCUGCGGCUUAACCGCAGAACUGCAUUUGAAACUGUUGAUCUUGAGUACUGGAGAGGCAGACGGAAUUCCUAGUGUAGCGGUGAAAUGCGUAGAUAUUAGGAGGAACACCAGUGGCGAAGGCGGUCUGCUGGACAGCAACUGACGGUGAGGCGCGAAAGCGUGGGGAGCAAACAGGAUUAGAUACCCCAGUAGUC
rnacentral:rRNA from 1 species